GACGAACGCUGGCGGCGUGCUUAACACAUGCAAGUCGACCGGAGUGGCGAACGGGUGAGUAACACGUGGGUGACCUGCCCUGCACUUCGGGAUAAGCCUGGGAAAAUGGGUCUAAUACCGGAUAGUGUGGGAUGGGCCCGCGGCCUGUCAGCUUUUUGGUGGGGUAAUGGCCUACCAGGGCGGCGACGGGUUGCCGGCCUGAGAGGGUGGACGGCCACAUUGGGACUGAGACACGGCCCAGACUCCGACGGGAGGCAGCGGUGGGGAAUAUUGCACAAUGGGCGGAAGCCGGAUGCAGCGACGCCGCGUGGGGGAUGACGGACUUCGGGUUGUAAACUCCUUUCACCAUCGACGCGGUAGAUGGAGAAGAAGCACCGGCUAACUUCGUGCCAGCAGCCGCGGUAAUUC
rnacentral:rRNA from 1 species